rnacentral:rRNA from 1 species
UGCAAGUCGAACGGAACGAAACUAGCUUGCUAGUAGGCGUCGAGUGGCGGACGGGUGAGUAACGCGUAGGAAUCUGCCUGAUAGUGGGGGAUAGCCCGAAGAAAUUCGGAUUAAUACCGCAUAAUCUAUUCGUAGUAAAGUGGGGGACUUUCGAGCCUCACGCUAUCAGAUGAGCCUGCGUAAGAUUAGCUUGUUGGUAGGGUAAAAGCCUACCAAGGCUACGAUCUUUAGCUGGUCUGAGAGGAUGAUCAGCCACAUCGGGACUGAGACACGGCCCGAACUCCUACGGGAGGCAGCAGUGGGGAAUAUUGGACAAUGGGGGCAACCCUGAUCCAGCAAUACCGCGUGUGAAGAAGGCCUGAGGGUUGUAAAGCACUUUCAAUUGUGAAGAAAAGUUAACGGUUAAUAACCGUUGACCUUGACGUUAACUUUAUAAGAAGCACCGGCUAACUCCGUGCCAGCAGCCGCGGUAAUACGGAGGGUGCAAGCGUUAAUCGGAAUUACUGGGCGUAAAGCGUGCGUAGGCGGUUUAUUAAGUCAGAUGUGAAAGCCCCGGGCUUAACCUGGGAACUGCAUUUGAAACUGGUCAACUAGAGUAUGGUAGAGGAAAGUGGAAUUUCUGGUGUAGCGGUGAAAUGCGUAGAUAUCAGAAGGAACAUCAAUGGCGAAGGCAGCUUUCUGGACCAAUACUGACGCUGAGGUACGAAAGCGUG